UACGGAGGAGGCAAGCGUUAUCCGGAAUUAUUGGGCGUAAAGCGUCCGCAGGUGGCACUUCAAGUCUGCUGUCAAAGACCGGGGCUUAACCCCAGAAAGGCAGUGGAAACUGAAGUGCUAGAGUGCAGUAGGGGUAGAGGGAAUUCCCGGUGUAGCGGUGAAAUGCGCAGAUAUCAGGAGGAACACCGGUGGCGAAGGCGGGUUGCUGGGCUGAUACUGACGCUGAGGCGCGAAAGCCAGGGGAGCGAACGGG
rnacentral:rRNA from 1 species